GAUGAACGCUGGCGGCGUGCUUAACACAUGCAAGUCGAACGGAGAAAGGGUAGCUUGCUAUCUUUCUUAGUGGCGGACGGGUGAGUAACGCGUGGGUAACCUGCCCUUUGCAGGGGGAUAACAGUGAAGAAAUCACUGCUAAUACCGCAUACCAACUUCUUUCGCAUGAAGGAAGUUUGAAAGAUUUAUCGGCAAAGGAUGGACCCGCGUUGGAUUAGCUAGUUGGUGAGAUAACAGCCCACCAAGGCAACGAUCCAUAGCCGGCCUGAGAGGGUGAACGGCCACACUGGGACUGAGACACGGCCCAGACUCCUACGGGAGGCAGCAGUGGGGAAUAUUGCACAAUGGGCGAAAGCCUGAUGCAGCGACGCCGCGUGAAGGAUGAAGGUCUUCGGAUUGUAAACUUCUAUCAGCAGGGAAGAAAGGGCCUAUGGCCUAUGACGGUACCUGACUAAGAAGCCCCGGCUAACUACGUG
rnacentral:rRNA from 1 species